rnacentral:ncRNA from 1 species
GGUCGGGAGUGCGGAGGCGAUGCAAUACCUUAACGGGAAAAACCUCCCGCCGUUCUGUGAGACGGUUUCGAGCUCCCGACCUUUUUAUA